rnacentral:rRNA from 1 species
AUUGAACGCUGGCGGCAGGCCUAACACAUGCAAGUCGAGCGGAUGACGGGAGCUUGCUCUUUGAUUCAGCGGCGGACGGGUGAGUAAUGCCUAGGAAUCUGCCUGGUAGUGGGGGGCAACGUUUCGAAAGGAACGCUAAUACCGCAUACGUCCUACGGGAGAAAGCAGGGGACCUUCGGGCCUUGCGCUAUCAGAUGAGCCUAGGUCGGAUUAGCUAGUAGGUGAGGUAAUGGCUCACCUAGGCGACGAUCCGUAACUGGUCUGAGAGGAUGAUCAGUCACACUGGAACUGAGACACGGUCCAGACUCCUACGGGAGGCAGCAGUGGGGAAUAUUGGACAAUGGGCGAAAGCCUGAUCCAGCCAUGCCGCGUGUGUGAAGAAGGUCUUCGGAUUGUAAAGCACUUUAAGUUGGGAGGAAGGGCAGUAAGUUAAUACCUUGCUGUUUUGACGUUACCGACAGAAUAAGCACCGGCUAACUCUGUGCCAGCAGCCGCGGUAAAAC